rnacentral:rRNA from 1 species
GCAUAUCAAUAAGCGGAGGAAAAGAAACCAACAGGGAUUGCCUCAGUAACGGCGAGUGAAGCGGCAACAGCUCAAAUUUGAAAUCUGGCCCCCCUCGGGGGCCCGAGUUGUAAUUUGGAGAGGAUGUUUCUGGCGCGGCGCCUACCGGAGUUCCUUGGAACAGGACGCCACAGAGGGUGAGAGCCCCGUACGGUGGGACGCCUAGCCGCAACGAAACUCCUUCGACGAGUCGAGUAGUUUGGGAAUGCUGCUCAAAAUGGGAGGUAAAUUUCUUCUAAAGCUAAAUACCGGCCAGAGACCGAUAGCGCACAAGUAGAGUGAUCGAAAGAUGAAAAGCACCUUGAAAAGAGGGUUAAACAGUACGUGAAAUUGUUGAAAGGGAAGCGCCUGCGACCAGACUCGCGCCCCGCGGACCAGCCGGCGUUCUCGCCGGUGCACUCCGCGGGGUGCGGGCCAGCAUCGGUUUUCCCUGGGGGAGAAAGGCCGCGGGAACGUAGCUCCCUCGGGAGUGUUAUAGCCCGUGGCGUCAUGCCCCAGGGGGGACCGAGGACCGCGCUUCGGCAAGGAUGCUGGCGUAAUGGUCGUCGACGACCCGUCUUGAAACACGGACCAAGGAGUCAAGCAUUGGGGCGAGUGUCUGGGUGCCAAACCCGCACGCGAAAUGAAAGUGAACGCAGGUGAGAGCUUCGGCGCAUCACCGACCGAUCCUGAUGUCUUCGGAUGGAUUUGAGUAAGAGCCCCACCGCUUGGACCCGAAAGAUGGUGAACUAUGCCUGUAUAGGGUGAAGCCAGAGGAAACUCUGGUGGAGGCUCGCAGCGGUUCUGACGUGCAAAUCGAUCGUCAAAUAUGGGCAUGGGGGGCGAAAGACUAAUCGAACCAUCUAGUAGCUGGUUACCGCG